rnacentral:lncRNA from 1 species
CCCUGUUUUGCAUAUGACAUAGUGCAGUGCAGGACUAAAAGAUUGUAGCCAUACUCAUGGUGGACCACCACAUAUACUUGUAGCGACGUGCUUGUGACUUUGGCAUCUUUGCCCACAGAAAAAUUAACUGACGUGCUACCUAAUUCGUGUUAUAUGCUGAACAGAAUGGGGGGCAUCCUAGGACUGAUGGGAUGCAGUUCACUUCAACGGGCAUAGGUAGCGUGAAACAUACCAAGUUGAAGAGGGCUUGUGAUGCUGAAGAUUUGCAAGUCAUUGAUGUGUAGAGAGCUAGUCUUUUUCUUCGGGCAGGUGCCGCUCUGGAAUUUGGUCUUGCUACUUUCUGAACUUUGGUCCUUUGCUGCACUGAAACCUGUCUGGUAGGGUUUGGUUCUUUGAGUGUAACACCGAAUCUCUUUUGGUUCCUGCAAGUCUGCAACUGUGUGCUGUCUGUUGCCCUAUAUAAACUUAGCACUGAAGAAGUCAGUUCAGUAAAAAGGCAGUUACUAAUCCCUGAUUCAGACAGACAAAUGUCGUUCACCAGAUUGACAGCAAAUUACAGACCGUAACCUCAUUUGGCAUCUACUCUCUAGUCUACUUCUCUAGAUUUAGGCUGCAACCGUAACAUUUUUGUUGAUGUAAACAUGUACGUGUUCAACCCUAAGUCUGUGAUCCCUGACUUGAUGCUCAUUGUGCUCUUUGCAACUGACAUACAAUCAUUUGGUAUUGCAGUCGGGUGGUGUCUCUGUGGACAUGCACGAAGGUUGGUGCCAUCAGCUUUGUGUUUGGCGUCGUGGUUGGCUUCACCCUGAAUAGAAGGCUGCGCCGGUGGGCUGCCAAGCUGCUCAAGAGAAUUAAGGACGAUGAGUAGCUAGCUAGUGCAGUUAAUCUUCAAAUUUUGCUGGCAAGUGUGCUCUAGUUACUCUGUAGUAGCCCCGAGUUGAGCCUCAUUGGCUGCUUGGAUCAAACUGUGAUGGAUACAACAUAGUCGUUUGUAACCUGUAUCGCAAAAUUCUCUUUUGGGGGAUCUUUAUUACUGGCGAUUGUGGCAUGUGCAGACUCUGCAGUACAUCUCUCGCUGACUGUAAAUGUAUGGUGCCGUUGUGUUGAGAAUGGCUUUCGUUGCUGGUUGCUGAAACUGAUGAGCUAAUGUUGUUUGGUCAAAUAUAUCCUGAAACAUGAAUUAAUAAUGGAAGCAGAGGAGGGGGCUUUAUCUGCUAUUGUUGUUUGGGUAUCAAAUUAAUUCCAACUGAG